UCCUACGGGUGGCUGCAGUGGGGAAUCUUCCGCAAUGGGCGAAAGCCUGACGGAGCAACGCCGCGUGAGUGAGGAAGGCCUUCGGGUCGUAAAACUCUGUCUUCAGGGAAGAAAAAAAUGACGGUACCUGAGGAGGAAGCCCCGGCUAACUACGUGCCAGCAGCCGCGGUAAAACGUAGGGGGCGAGCGUUGUCCGGAAUUACUGGGCGUAAAGGGCGCGUAGGCGGUUAUUUAAGUCAGAGGUGAAAACGACCGGCGCAACCGGUAGCCUGCCUUUGAAACUGGAUGACUUGAGGGCAGGAGAGGGGAGUGGAAUUCCCAGUGUAGCGGUGAAAUGCGUAGAUAUUGGGAGGAACACCAGUGGCGAAGGCGGCUCUCUGGCCUGUUUCUGACGCUGAGGCGCGAAAGCGUGGGGAGCAAACGGGAUUAGAUACCCCGGUAGUCUAC
rnacentral:rRNA from 1 species